GACGAACGCUGGCGGCGUGCUUAACACAUGCAAGUCGAACGGACAGGCCAUUUUGGGGGUAGCUGCGUGGCGAACGGGUGAGUAACACGUGGGUAACCUGCCCUUGACUUCCGGCCAACUACCGGAAACUGGGGCUAAUACAGGAUAGGUAUUAUUGCUGCAUGGUGGGGGUUGGAUAGUUUCUGCGGUUUUGGAUGGAUUGGCCGCUUACCAGCUUGUUGGUGGGGUAGUUGCAUACUAAGGCUUUGACGGGUAGCCGGCCUUGGGGGGGGAACGCCGACAAGAGGACUGAGAGACGGACCAGACUCCUACGGGAGGCAACAGUGGGGAAUAUUGCCCAAUGGGGGGGAGCCUGAGGCAGAAGCGCCGCGGUCGGGAUGCCGGCUUUCGGGUGGAGAACCGCUGUCAGCAUGGGCGGUGCAUGUUGUGACGGUACCUGCAGAAGAAGCACCGGCUAACUACGUG
rnacentral:rRNA from 1 species